AAUGAAUUAAAGGAGAAACAGUGCGAGGGAGGAGUAAAGAACACUUGCUCAGAGUGGGUGAGUCAGUCACCUGCCGUUUGGCCCCCUCAUCAUAUGACACACGGUGGCACAGCACGGCUGUCAUCGACUCCGCCGAGCUUGGAUCAGCACAAACUGCAACAGAGUUAAGGUCCCAAGAAGUUGAUUCUGUUCAUGUGGAUGUAGUGUUUUCAGUGAGAGAAAUGUUCCAUCACUCAUGUGGGCGGCCCGGAUGUAAGUGGGACAUUGAACACAUUUAUUCUUUUCUUUUUCAGCUAUUCUGUUGUUAUUUGAUGGCGUCCAUGAAAUUAUCUUGACGUUUUCCACAUGUGAAUAAUCUUUUAUACCAUAGAAUGAUGAACUCCUCCCAGGUUGAUGGGCACCAGCAAUUGUUUUUUCAUAUCUGAACAUUGUGUUAGCACAUAUCUGAAUGCUCCAGAUAAACAAAGUGACAGAACUUGUUUUUUUUUUUUCUUUCAAUCGGUCGAUCAAUGAAUCCAGUCCAGAGGUUCCAGCCUCCUGCUUAAUUCCUAUUGAAGAGGCUUGAGUUCUGUGGAAAUGGUGGUGUCAUCCUCCUCUCUCAGCCAUCGGUUCAGAUUUGCCUCUGAGCGCAGCGAGACUUCCUGAUUUGUGUGACAAACACAAAUGCCUUUAAAUUCCCAGAGCUCCGGCUCCUUACCAGCCUCAUACCUUGUAAUGCAUAAUUCACA
ensembl:lncRNA